UUAAAUGUCAAAUGUCAGCUCCGUGGUGUCACAUAAAAUGGCCGCUCCGUCCUUUUCUAUUUUAGUGCUUCGGCAACCACUCACUGUCUCACUAAAAAACACCUUAAUAUGCGAAAAACAUGCCUUUACUUUUAAUUUAAAAUAUCUUUCUGUCAACCAAUCAGAAGCACAUACGCUCUUAUUGGUGAGAGUGGUGAGAGUGACCACUUUUCUGAAAUAAGUUUUAUGCGCUAACUUCAUAGUGUUAUGCAAAUGACAUUCUUUGGUUAUGUAGUUUUGUUGUCAUAAUUGAAAUUUAUCAUCAGAGCUGAUGACUAACUGACAAUUAUUGCUAAGAAAACAAAUAUUUUCAAUGAAUAUAUAGUAAAAAACAUUUUAUAACCAGGAAAAUGGGAAAACCACGUGAAAUUGUGACAAGAGCAGUACAAAAGAAUAAAUCACUCAAAAAACCUGUCAAAAGAUUAAAAAAGCCAGAAUCAAUUAAGCAUAGAGAAGAACGACUAAAGAAAAAACGGGAAGCUGAAAAAGUAAGACGAGAAAAGAUAAAAAAUGAUCCCCUGCUUUAUGAAAAUUAUUGUCAAAAAGAAAGAGAAAGAUUCAAAAAAAGGAAAGAAGAAGGAAAAAUUAAAAAAUUAAGUGAAUUAACAAAUAGAGAAAAGAAACUUUUGAAAAAACGCCAGCGAGAGUGGAAGAGAAAUUCGCGUUUGAAAAAGAUGACGUUAGAACAAGAACUUAUAGUAAACAACGAAGUUAAAAACAAUAGGAGCCAACAAUCAAAGCAAUCAAAAUCAUCCCAAAAAAGUACAAAACAAAAGAAGAAAGUGUUAUACUGACAAUAAUAAACUCAUCGAUUUGAAAAAUUUGAGGUUGCAAAAAACUUAUCAAUAUGCUUAGAAAAAGAAAUAAGGGUCUCCAAAAUAAAUCUUUGUCGUCAAUUACGAAUACGUCACCUAAUUCGAAAAUGAACAAUUUUUUUAAUAAUCAGAAGACUUCUAUGAAUGAUAUAAAGAAACGUUUGAUUUUUGGUGAAGUCCUAAAAAAUUAAAUUCAUUGUUCCUAUAAGGAAUCUAAAAAUGAGAAAGUUAAACGAGUUUUAGGCCAAGUAGUAAGCGGAAAAAUUAUUUGAAAAUAUCGAUGUCUAUCACAAGCUAGAAAAGUUGUUAAUGUAUCAACUUCCAGAAUUUCCAAAGUUGCAGUUUUAAUCAAGCACCGAAGACAAAUACAAACAUUUAGCGUUGAAUGUAAUUUGCAAAAUUAUUUGAUAGGUGAACUUUAAAAUAAUUUUUUAUUUAAUAUUUCUUAUUAA